rnacentral:rRNA from 1 species
UUCGAGGUGGACGAGGAGGGUGAGGGCAUUGUCGGCGCACCGAAAGGAAGAGCGGGCAAUUACACCAACACCGAUGACAUCUUACUAUGCAAUACUUGGUUGCAAGUGUUGAGGGAUCCAUCCGUUGGAGGCGAUCAAAGUAGAGAUGCUUAUUGGAACCGGAUGAAGGAACACUUUGAUGCUCGCAACGUGAGUGGAAUUGACCGCUCCAAUCGAUCACUUAGGUCCCGGUGGUCGACAAUCAACUCGGAUUGUCAAAAGUGGGCGGCUUGUCAAAAGGCGGUUGACAAGUUGAACCCAAGUGGCACAAAUGAGGACGAUAGAGUAAGUGCCAUUUCAUCUUACAUGUUGGUGCUAAACUUGCUUUGUUUUGCUUGUUGUUGGUGCUAA